AACGAACGCUGGCGGCAUGCCUAACACAUGCAAGUCGAACGAGACCCUCGGGUCUAGUGGCGCACGGGUGCGUAACGCGUGGGAAUCUGCCCUUGGGUUCGGAAUAACAGUUAGAAAUGACUGCUAAUACCGGAUGAUGACUUCGGUCCAAAGAUUUAUCGCCCAAGGAUGAGCCCGCGUAGGAUUAGCUAGUUGGUGAGGUAAAGGCUCACCAAGGCGACGAUCCUUAGCUGGUCUGAGAGGAUGAUCAGCCACACUGGGACUGAGACACGGCCCAGACUCCUACGGGAGGCAGCAGUGGGGAAUAUUGGACAAUGGGUGAAAGCCUGAUCCAGCAAUGCCGCGUGAGUGAUGAAGGCCCUAGGGUUGUAAAGCUCUUUUACCCGGGAUGAUAAUGACAGUACCGGGAGAAUAAGCCCCGGCCAACUCCGUGCCAGCCGCCGCCGUAAAAC
rnacentral:rRNA from 1 species